GAUGAACGCUGGCGGCGUGCCUAAUACAUGCAAGUCGAGCGAACAGACGAGGAGCUUGCUCCUCUGACGUUAGCGGCGGACGGGUGAGUAACACGUGGAUAACCUACCUAUAAGACUGGGAUAACUUCGGGAAACCGGAGCUAAUACCGGAUAAUAUAUUGAACCGCAUGGUUCAAUAGUGAAAGACGGUUUUGCUGUCACUUAUAGAUUGAUCCGCGCCGCAUUAGCUAGUUGGUAAGGUAACGGCUUACCAAGGCAACGAUGCGUAGCCGACCUGAGAGGGUGAUCGGCCACACUGGAACUGAGACACGGUCCAGACUCCUACGGGAGGCAGCAGUAGGGAAUCUUCCGCAAUGGGCGAAAGCCUGACGGAGCAACGCCGCGUGAGCGAUGAAGGUCUUCGGAUCGUAAAACUCUGUUAUUAGGGAAGAACAAAUGUGUAAGUAACUAUGCACGUCUUGACGGUACCUAAUCAGAAAGCCACGGCUAACUACGUG
rnacentral:rRNA from 1 species